GUGCUUGCUUCAGCAACACAUAUGCUAAAAUUGGAAUGAUACAGUGAAGAUUAGCAUGUCCCCUGCACAAGGAUGACACACAAAUUGGUGAAGCAUUUCAUAUUUUA